GUGUCAGCCGCCGCGGUAAUACGUAGGGAGCAAGCGUUGUCCGGAAUCAUUGGGCGUAAAGCGCGUGUAGGCGGUUACAUAAGUCUGUUGUGAAAGUCGGAGGCUCAACCUUCGAAAGCCGAUGGAUACUGUGUGACUUGAGUACGGAAGAGGAGAGUGGAAUUCCUGGUGUAGCGGUGAAAUGCGCAGAUAUCAGGAGGAACACCAACGGCGAAGGCAGCUCUCUGGGACGUUACUGACGCUGAGACGCGAAAGCGUGGGGAGCAAACAGGAUUAGAAACCCUCGUAGUCC
rnacentral:rRNA from 1 species